UUCCGGUSGAUCCUGCCGGACCCGACUGCUAUCAGAGUGGGACUAAGCCAUGCGAGUCGACAUAGCAAUAUGUGGCAUACGGCUCAGUAACACGUAGUCAACAUGCCCAGGGGACGUGGAUAACCUCGGGAAACUGAGGAUAAACCACGAUAGGUCAUCACUUCUGGAAUGGGUAAUGACUUAAAUCUAUAUGGCCCCUGGAUUGGACUGCGGCCGAUCAGGCUGUUGGUGAGGUAAUGGCCCACCAAACCUGUAACCGGUACGGGCUCUGAGAGGAGGAGCCCGGGAGAUGGGCACUGAGACAAGGGCCCAGGCCCUAUGGGGCGCAGCAGGCGCGAAACCUCUGCAAUAGGCGAAAGCUUGACAGGGUUACUCUGAGUGAUUUCCGUUAAGGAGAUCUUUUGGCACCUCUAAAAAUGGUGCAGAAUAAGGGGUGGGCAAGUCUGGUGUCAGCCGCCGCGGUAAUACCAGCACCCCGAGUGGUCGGGACGUUUAUUGGGCCUAAAGCAUCCGUAGCCGGUUCUACAAGUCUUCCGUUAAAUCCACCUGCUUAACAGAUGGGCUGCGGAAGAUACUAUAGAGCUAGGAGGCGGGAGAGGCAAGCGGUACUCGAUGGGUAGGGGUAAAAUCCGUUGAUCCAUUGAAGACCACCAGUGGCGAAGGCGGCUUGCCAGAACGCGCUCGACGGUGAGGGAUGAAAGCUGGGGGAGCAAACCGGAUUAGAUACCCGGGUAGUCCCAGCUGUAAACGAUGCAGACUCGGUGAUGAGUUGGCUUAUUGCUAACUCAGUGCCGCAGGGAAGCCGUUAAGUUUGCCGCCUGGGGAGUACGGUCGCAAGACUGAAACUUAAAGGAAUUGGCGGGGGAGCAC
rnacentral:rRNA from 1 species